UUAAGCGACUAAGCGUACACGGUGGAUGCCUUGGCAGUCAGAGGCGAUGAAGGACGUGCUAAUCUGCGAUAAGCGUCGGUAAGGUGAUAUGAACCGUUAUAACCGGCGAUUUCCGAAUGGGGAAACCCAGUGUGAUUCGUCACACUAUCAUUAACUGAAUCCAUAGGUUAAUGAGGCGAACCGGGGGAACUGAAACAUCUAAGUACCCCGAGGAAAAGAAAUCAACCGAGAUUCCCCCAGUAGCGGCGAGCGAACGGGGAGCAGCCCAGAGCCUGAAUCAGUAUGUGUGUUAGUGGAAGCGUCUGGAAAGGCGCGCGAUACAGGGUGACAGCCCCGUACACAAAAAUGCACAUGCUGUGAGCUCGAUGAGUAGGGCGGGACACGUGGUAUCCUGUCUGAAUAUGGGGGGACCAUCCUCCAAGGCUAAAUACUCCUGACUGACCGAUAGUGAACCAGUACCGUGAGGGAAAGGCGAAAAGAACCCCGGCGAGGGGAGUGAAAAAGAACCUGAAACCGUGUACGUACAAGCAGUGGGAGCACAGAGCAAUCUGUGUGACUGCGUACCUUUUGUAUAAUGGGUCAGCGACUUAUAUUCUGUAGCAAGGUUAACCGAAUAGGGGAGCCGAAGGGAAACCGAGUCUUAACUGGGCGUUAAGUUGCAGGGUAUAGACCCGAAACCCGGUGAUCUAGCCAUGGGCAGGUUGAAGGUUGGGUAACACUAACUGGAGGACCGAACCGACUAAUGUUGAAAAAUUAGCGGAUGACUUGUGGCUGGGGGUGAAAGGCCAAUCAAACCGGGAGAUAGCUGGUUCUCCCCGAAAGCUAUUUAGGUAGCGCCUCGUGAAUUCAUCUCCGGGGGUAGAGCACUGUUUCGGCAAGGGGGUCAUCCCGACUUACCAACCCGAUGCAAACUGCGAAUACCGGAGAAUGUUAUCACGGGAGACACACGGCGGGUGCUAACGUCCGUCGUGAAGAGGGAAACAACCCAGACCGCCAGCUAAGGUCCCAAAGUCAUGGUUAAGUGGGAAACGAUGUGGGAAGGCCCAGACAGCCAGGAUGUUGGCUUAGAAGCAGCCAUCAUUUAAAGAAAGCGUAAUAGCUCACUGGUCGAGUCGGCCUGCGCGGAAGAUGUAACGGGGCUAAACCAUGCACCGAAGCUGCGGCAGCGACGCUUAUGCGUUGUUGGGUAGGGGAGCGUUCUGUAAGCCUGUGAAGGUGUGCUGUGAGGCAUGCUGGAGGUAUCAGAAGUGCGAAUGCUGACAUAAGUAACGAUAAAGCGGGUGAAAAGCCCGCUCGCCGGAAGACCAAGGGUUCCUGUCCAACGUUAAUCGGGGCAGGGUGAGUCGACCCCUAAGGCGAGGCCGAAAGGCGUAGUCGAUGGGAAACAGGUUAAUAUUCCUGUACUUGGUGUUACUGCGAAGGGGGGACGGAGAAGGCUAUGUUGGCCGGGCGACGGUUGUCCCGGUUUAAGCGUGUAGGCUGGUUUUCCAGGCAAAUCCGGAAAAUCAAGGCUGAGGCGUGAUGACGAGGCACUACGGUGCUGAAGCAACAAAUGCCCUGCUUCCAGGAAAAGCCUCUAAGCAUCAGGUAACAUCAAAUCGUACCCCAAACCGACACAGGUGGUCAGGUAGAGAAUACCAAGGCGCUUGAGAGAACUCGGGUGAAGGAACUAGGCAAAAUGGUGCCGUAACUUCGGGAGAAGGCACGCUGAUAUGUAGGUGAAGUCCCUCGCGGAUGGAGCUGAAAUCAGUCGAAGAUACCAGCUGGCUGCAACUGUUUAUUAAAAACACAGCACUGUGCAAACACGAAAGUGGACGUAUACGGUGUGACGCCUGCCCGGUGCCGGAAGGUUAAUUGAUGGGGUCAGCGCAAGCGAAGCUCUUGAUCGAAGCCCCGGUAAACGGCGGCCGUAACUAUAACGGUCCUAAGGUAGCGAAAUUCCUUGUCGGGUAAGUUCCGACCUGCACGAAUGGCGUAAUGAUGGCCAGGCUGUCUCCACCCGAGACUCAGUGAAAUUGAACUCGCUGUGAAGAUGCAGUGUACCCGCGGCAAGACGGAAAGACCCCGUGAACCUUUACUAUAGCUUGACACUGAACAUUGAGCCUUGAUGUGUAGGAUAGGUGGGAGGCUUGGAAGUGUGGACGCCAGUCUGCAUGGAGCCGACCUUGAAAUACCACCCUUUAAUGUUUGAUGUUCUAACGUUGACCCGUAAUCCGGGUUGCGGACAGUGUCUGGUGGGUAGUUUGACUGGGGCGGUCUCCUCCUAAAGAGUAACGGAGGAGCACGAAGGUUGGCUAAUCCUGGUCGGACAUCAGGAGGUUAGUGCAAUGGCAUAAGCCAGCUUGACUGCGAGCGUGACGGCGCGAGCAGGUGCGAAAGCAGGUCAUAGUGAUCCGGUGGUUCUGAAUGGAAGGGCCAUCGCUCAACGGAUAAAAGGUACUCCGGGGAUAACAGGCUGAUACCGCCCAAGAGUUCAUAUCGACGGCGGUGUUUGGCACCUCGAUGUCGGCUCAUCACAUCCUGGGGCUGAAGUAGGUCCCAAGGGUAUGGCUGUUCGCCAUUUAAAGUGGUACGCGAGCUGGGUUUAGAACGUCGUGAGACAGUUCGGUCCCUAUCUGCCGUGGGCGCUGGAGAACUGAGGGGGGCUGCUCCUAGUACGAGAGGACCGGAGUGGACGCAUCACUGGUGUUCGGGUUGUCAUGCCAAUGGCACUGCCCGGUAGCUAAAUGCGGAAGAGAUAAGUGCUGAAAGCAUCUAAGCACGAAACUUGCCCCGAGAUGAGUUCUCCCUGACUCCUUGAGAGUCCUGAAGGAACGUUGAAGACGACGACGUUGAUAGGCCGGGUGUGUAAGCGCAGCGAUGCGUUGAGCUAACCGGUACUAAUGAACCGUGAGGCUUAACCUU
rnacentral:rRNA from 1 species